UCGAGAAUUUUUCUCAAUGGGGGAAACCCUGAAGGAGCGACGCCGCGUGGAGGAUGAAGGUCUUCGGAUUGUAAACUCCUGUCAUUGGUGAACAAAAAGUGUGGUUUAACUGGCCAUGCUUCGAUAGUAGCCGAAGAGGAAGGGACGGCAAACUCUGUGCCAGCAGCCGCGGUAAUACAGAGGUCCCAAGCGUUGUUCGGAUUUAUUGGGCGUAAAGGGAGCGUAGGCGGCGGGGUAAGUCAGGUGUUAAAAUUCGAAGCUCAACUUCGAAGCGCAUUUGAUACUGCUCUGCUAGAGGAGUGGAGAGGAGACAGGAAUUCACGGUGUAGCAGUGAAAUGCGUAGAUAUCGUGAGGAAGACCCAUGGCGAAAGCAUGUCUCUGGAAACUACCUGACGCUGAUGCUCGAAGGCCAGGGGAGCAAACGGGAUUAGAUACCCCUGUAGUCC
rnacentral:rRNA from 1 species